rnacentral:rRNA from 1 species
GACGAACGCUGGCGGCGUGCCUAAUACAUGCAAGUUGAGCGCUGAAGGUUGGUACUUGUACCAACUGGAUGAGCAGCGAACGGGUGAGUAACGCGUGGGGAAUCUGCCUUUGAGCGGGGGACAACAUUUGGAAACGAAUGCUAAUACCGCAUAAAAACUUUAAACACAAGUUUUAAGUUUGAAAGAUGCAAUUGCAUCACUCAAAGAUGAUCCCGCGUUGUAUUAGCUAGUUGGUGAGGUAAAGGCUCACCAAGGCGAUGAUACAUAGCCGACCUGAGAGGGUGAUCGGCCACAUUGGGACGGUGACACGGCCCAAACUCCUACGGGAGGCAGCAGUAGGGAAUCUUCGGCAAUGGACGAAAGUCUGACCGAGCAACGCCGCGUGAGUGAAGAAGGGUGUCGGAUCGUAAAACUCUGUUGGUAGAGAAGAACGUUGGUGAGAGUGGAAAGCUCAUCAAGUGACGGUAACUACCCAGAAAGGGACGGCUAACUACGUG